AGAGCAAUCAUUCUACUUCGUUGUCAGCGAACUAUUUUACCGACACAGUGAAUGCACCAUUUUACUUGACAGACACAGAUUUGUGUGAAGAACUUUGUAGUCAUAUAAUUUGUGUUUUAAUACACGAGUAGGGCUCAUACUGAAUGUCGGACAACUUGAAAAUAAGGUGACUUAAAAAGAUGCUUUGCAAGUAGCACAAGUCAAAGAUGAUGAAGAUGCAGCUUUCUGUUGUGCUGGUACAUUUAUUGGUUAUAAUCACUGGAAGUCCUUCCACCACCCCACAGGAUCAACUACAGUUUCAAGGUAAAUGGCGAAAUACUGUAUACAAUAUUUAUCAAUCUUAWACUGAUGCAUGAUGGUAUCUAAUUCGAACCUUCAAGAAUUCRUGGCGCAAAGCACUUUUGGGAGACUUUCUCUAGUAGACACUAUUCAUAUCAAUUCUUGUAAACGAUUCUUCCUCACACUGAGCUCAUAGUUGUGAUGAUAAAAAGGUUCCAACGCCCAUAAAGCAUUGAUGUGAGUUGAUACAUUAUUAAUAUUAGCCAGGCUGUGAUAAAUAUAUCUUCUCUGAUAAAUCGUUUAUCACUACUGAAUCAGCUGGUACGGCUUGGUGGGGUUCUUAUGAUAAGUCAUUUUAGUUUGGUGUCGAUUUUUUAGCUAUUAUCUCAUAGAUCCKACUAAAGAUCAUACGUCUCUUAUUCAUUGUGAGAAGGUCGACUAUGAAUUAUAAUUGGACUUGAUGCAAAAGGAAAAAAAACUAGUUGUUGACAAAUUUACAUUUGGAUGAUAGUAAUGAAAGAGGCGAUAACUUGUUUUGAUGGAGAGAUGUAUGAAUAAGCAGGAUUGCCCACUAAGCGAUAAAAAAAGAACUAAAUGAAAAGAACACAUAACGUUACUGCUCAAACCAAUAUUCAAUCCAAUUGUCAAUACAUCCCUAGGCCUUACUCUAAAUCAAAUAGMAAAUUCAAUAUCUCUUUCACCGAGUCAACGUUCAAUAAAACCAGACUAUGCGURUGGUAUAACGUUAUUGGCAUACAUAUCUAUUAUGUCUGGAAUGAUAAAAGGAGUUAAAAGCAAAGGAUUUUCUAUGAUAUAAUCAUAUUCGUUUAGUCUUCACUUAGACUUUAAGCCGAUCAGCUUUUAAAUCAAUCAAGUUUAGCCGUUAACUGUUUUACAUGCAUAGAAUAUAUGCAUGACUCAUUUGAACACUUCACGGAGAGUACAGCUUGGUCUCCUGGUCAUUACUAAUCCURUUGCCAUGAAAACCUUUCUGUGUAUUUACUGUAUGUUAACCUUUAUACCUUGUAAUUCAUCACGUGCACCUGUAAAAAGUAAGUACGGAUUGUUGUGUGAAAAAAUCGACUUACGGUCAGCGGUUGAACAAAGUAAAAGACAUGGCGGACAUAAACUGUCGAAAAUGUUUUUGAACUGAACAUGAAAACGAUAUCAUAGAGUAGACUCUAGGGUUAGGGUUAGAGUAGACUGAAGCAUUUUAGUAUC